CUGUGCUUUAAAAAUUAAGACUGCUUGUGUCUUGUGGUGUGACAAAGUCUUUCAGUUUAUUUGUUGGCAAGUUUUGAAAGCUGUGGCUUUCACGAUAUUUCCUUCCUUCUCCCUCUUCACACAACCAAUUGAUGCAAUGUGUUUCCUAUAUUGAAUUAUUCACACCUUUAUCCUGCUGUGAACUCCUUUCAGUGUUCUUCAAGCAGGCCAGCUGAUAGGAUUCUAUGUGUCUGGAGAGAAAGCAGUGGGAUGCAUGGAACUCUGGCUGGCUGGUUGGUGUUCAGACCAGGAAGAGCGGGAUCUCUGGAAGGCACCCAGAAAAGGCUAGGAACAACGUGACACCAAUAUGUAACUUCCACAUGCAUAAGGAUUUUCUUCUUCCCUGAAUUGCGAGGGGCAACAUGUUUUCUCUUCCAUUUCCAAAGACUUCUCGAGCCUAU